GACGAACGCUGGCGGCGCGCCUAACACAUGCAAGUCGAACGAGCGAGCGAGAGCUUGCUUUCUCGAGCGAGUGGCGAACGGGUGAGUAACGCGUGAGGAACCUGCCUCAAAGAGGGGGACAACAGUUGGAAACGACUGCUAAUACCGCAUAAGCCCACGACCCGGCAUCGGGUAGAGGGAAAAGGAGCAAUCCGCCCUGGGAUGGCCUCGCGUCCGAUUAGCUAGUUGGUGAGGUAACGGCCCACCAAGGCGACGAUCGGUAGCCGGACUGAGAGGUUGAACGGCCACAUUGGGACUGAGACACGGCCCAGACUCCUACGGGAGGCAGCAGUGGGGAAUAUUGCACAAUGGGGGAAACCCUGAUGCAGCGACGCCGCGUGGAGGAAGAAGGUCUUCGGAUUGUAAACUCCUGUUGUUGAGGAAGAUAAUGACGGUACUCAACAAGGAAGUGACGGCUAACUACGUG
rnacentral:rRNA from 1 species